rnacentral:rRNA from 1 species
AUUGAACGCUGGCGGCAUGCUUUACACAUGCAAGUCGAACGGUAACAGGCCGCAAGGUGCUGACGAGUGGCGAACGGGUGAGUAAUGCAUCGGAACGUGCCCAGUCGUGGGGGAUAACGCAGCGAAAGCUGCGCUAAUACCGCAUACGAUCUAUGGAUGAAAGCGGGGGACCGUAAGGCCUCGCGCGAUUGGAGCGGCCGAUGUCAGAUUAGGUAGUUGGUGGGGUAAAGGCGCACCAAGCCAACGAUCUGUAGCUGGUCUGAGAGGACGACCAGCCACACUGGGACUGAGACACGGCCCAGACUCCUACGGGAGGCAGCAGUGGGGAAUUUAGGACAAUGGGCGCAAGCCUGAUCCAGCAAUGCCGCGUGCAGGAAGAAGGCCUUCGGGUUGUAAACUGCUUUUGUACGGAACGAAACGGUCCUGGUUAAUACCUGGGGCUAAUGACGGUACCGUAAGAAUAAGCACCGGCUAACUACGUGCCAGCCGCCGCAGUAACAC